rnacentral:lncRNA from 10 species
GGACAGCAACGUGGUACAGCACAUGAAGCAGAGCAGCAGCCUGGAAGGCAGGGAGGGUUGGGGCAGAGCGUCCACGGAACACACAUCCCUGCGGCUCCACAGUGGGCCUCCUACCAACCUGCUGGGGCUGGUCUAGACAGCUGUGGCUGGAAAGGCAGGCAUUUGUCCUGCAGGGUGCCAUUCAGCUCUGUACUCCCAAUGCUUGGCACAGCGUAAGUAUUAAAGCAAUACUUCUUGAAUGAAUGAAUCACACUUCAUGGACUAGCGGCCUUAGCCAGAAAAAAGUCCUUAGUGAAGCAAAGAAUAGCUCUGGUAGUAGGGCCACAGGGUGUAGACUUACCAUUGUUUUUCUGUCUCCACGGACAUUGGCUGGAGCUUGGCGGUGAUGUGUGUUUGUGUGUGGAAGGCAAUACUUUGUUUGCCCUCGCAGCCAGCAAUUCUGUGAGCGCCACGGCACUCCUUGCUUUGCCGCCAAGUCACCAUAGAUAUCAGUGACCCAAUAGAGAUGAAUGUUUGGAGCUCACAGUUCCACCCACUACCUGUCAACAUGCUGAAGGCAUAGCCCCCAAAGUCACAGAAGUGUCCCGUGUCACUGUGUGCACUUUUCCAGCUGACAUCUUAAAGCGUCAACACUUGGAGAAAAACACUAACAAGGUUAACCCUCUAAUUAUUUCUCUUUGGCUUUGAGAACGUUGUGCAAUGUGUGCCUGUACAGACAUGUCCUAGUUUCCAUAAGAUAAGCCAACAUAAAGACUACUGUGUUUAUUAUUUUAGGUGGAAUCACUGACUUUGCACAACUUGGGGACAGUACGUUUAUCAUGUGGACUCCAUUGGCUGACAGCGACUUGACUUUGCCAAUUCUGUACCUACACGGGCCCUCUCCCUGGACGGG